rnacentral:tRNA from 1 species
GACCUGUUAGCUCAGUCGGCAGAGCGUGGUGCUAAUAACGCUAAGGUCGUGAGUUCGAUCCUCACACAGGCCA